GACGAACGCUGGCGGCGUGCUUAACACAUGCAAGUCGAACGGGAUCCAUGGAGUAGCAAUACUCCGGAAGAUCUAGUGGCGAACGGGUGAGGAACACGUGAAGAACCUGCCCUGGACUCUGGGAUAACAGUUGGAAACGACUGCUAAUACCGGAUGUCGUUGUUGGAGUCGCAUGGCUCUACAACGAAAGUUUUUCGGUCCAGGAGGGCUUCGCGGCCUAUCAGCUAGUUGGUGAGGUAACGGCUCACCAAGGCAUCGACGGGUAGCUGGUCUGAGAGGAUGAUCAGCCACACUGGGACUGAGACACGGCCCAGACUCCUACGGGAGGCAGCAGUGGGGAAUCUUGCGCAAUGGGCGAAAGCCUGACGCAGCAACGCCGCGUGCGGGAAGAAGGCUUUAGGGUUGUAAACCGCUUUCAGCAGGGAAGAAAAUGACGGUACCUGCAGAAGAAGGUGCGGCCAACUACGUGCCAGCAGCCGCCGUAA
rnacentral:rRNA from 1 species